rnacentral:hammerhead_ribozyme from 1 species
GCACUGCUGACGAGUCCCAAACAGGACGACACGACUGUCCAGUGC